UGGCGUUGAAACGGUUAACGUAACUGCGCGUACGACCGUCGAAUGGCAAAGAUAUUCAAGCUGAGAAUCGUUUUCAGAUGUUACAAACAGCUGUGUUGACUUUCAAGGAGAAACCAUUCGACAUGAUCUUACGUUUGAGCCGGGACCUUCGGUUUGCAGUUUCUGCACCUGCUAUAAUUCGAGGCUGAAGUGGUGCCAGUCGAUCGUAUGCAACCCGCCCGUAGAUCUUCCUUGUUGUUACGCCGCCUAAAACAUCUGCACGCCAGCCCGCGCCAGCUCGCACCACCGGACAACAACCAGCCUGCGUAACGUCACUUCGACCCUCAAUAAACCUAAGGACCCACCAUAACUUUCACUUCCCUUCGGUUUUUAGAGAGGUCCUUGGGUUUAUUAGACGUACUUAAAACACGGAGAAAACGGGUAUGCACCCAUUAGGAAAAUCCGAAUAGCCCUCUAAUAAAACAAGCUAUGUUUUCCUCACGCACACAGUCAUCUAUCCACCACGAUGGUAGGAGACUUCCUACUCAUCCCUUCGAGCAGUAGUGCAGGUCAUGACCAAUCGACACCGCGGUUCGUUACCCUCACUUUUCCUAACGAAAGUGGGGACAACGAAUCCGCGUUCUUUAGGCACAGGGGCAUACCCACACCGAACUUUUCUUCUGUAUUAGAAAAAGAGCGACAGUCAGUCUAAAAACUAACGCCUAACGCGGCAGUCUACACAUAGCGCGAGAGUCGCAUACUUUACGAAAAUCUUUUGUCGGUUCUCGGUGUUGUCGAACAUACAUCUUCUCUCCUAAAUAUAUUAUAGUGCUAAGUACAUUAAUACAUUAAUCUCCAUUAUAAGAGCCCUGCUCUAGCGUACAUAUCUAUCACAUCUUCGUGCGACAAGUUGUUAACUAUUUAUUUCUCUA